GAUGAACGCUGGCGGCGUGCUUAACACAUGCAAGUCGAACGAGAAAUGGAGACGGAAACCUUCGGGCGGAAGCCUUCAUUUCGAGUGGCGGACGGGUGAGUAACGCGUGGGUAACCUGCCUCAUACAGGGGGAUAACAGUUGGAAACGACUGUUAAUACCGCAUAAGACCACAGCACAGCAUGGUGCGGGGGUAAAAACUCCGGUGGUAUGAGAUGGACCCGCGUUCGAUUAGCCAGUUGGCGGGGUAACGGCCCACCAAAGCGACGAUCGAUAGCCGAUCUGAGAGGAUGACCGGCCACAUUGGGACUGAGACACGGCCCAAACUCCUACGGGAGGCAGCAGUGGGGAAUAUUGCACAAUGGGGGAAACCCUGAUGCAGCGACGCCGCGUGAGUGAAGAAGUACUUCGGUAUGUAAAGCUCUAUCAGCAGGGAAGAAAAUGACGGUACCUGAGUAAGAAGCCCCGGCUAACUACGUGCCAGCAGCCGCGGUAAUACGUAGGGGGCAAGCGUUAUCCGGAUUUACUGGGUGUAAAGGGAGCGCAGACGGUUGCGCAAGUCUGAAGUGAAAUCCCGAGGCUUAACCACGGGACUGCUUUGGAAACUGUGCGACUUGAGUAUCGGAGGGGCAGGCGGAAUUCCUAGUGUAGCGGUGAAAUGCGUAGAUAUUAGGAAGAACACCGGUGGCGAAGGCGGCCUGCUGGACGAAAACUGACGUUGAGGCUCGAAGGCGUGGGGAGCAAACAGG
rnacentral:rRNA from 1 species